CAUUCCCGCCGUUUGAGAGGCCGGGCACGUUAACAGUUCAUAUCUUGUUUUCCUCUUGAGGGAGGCUGAUAUCUGUGUCUGUCAGAGGCAUCCCUCCAGGACUGGACCAGCCAGCUGACCUCCCGCGUUGCUCUUCGUUGAAUAAGUCCAAGGUUAAAGUGGAUUUAGGAUACUGAUUGACUGUAAGGCUGAGGGAUCUCAGGAAAAUGAUACCGUUGCAGAUGUGAAAUGGAUGUAUUCCCCGGCCUAGUGACAGAAAAGCAACGCUUAGAAAAUGCUUAUCUGUAGAUUUCACAUGACAUUUGUAAGGAUAAUUGUAUUUAAAAAUUUAGAGAUCAUAAUGGAAGAGGAAAAAGUUGAACUGAAAAGAAAGAAAGAAAUGCAAAAUGGCAAAAGAUGGUCUAAUUAGCAGCACGUAGCCCGGGACGUACUGACACUGAAUAUUACUACUUCAUUAUAGAUCUGGGCCUGGAUGAAGCUAUUGUCCGACAAUGUACACAGACAUAAUCACAAUUAGGGGCUAUCAACUUGUAAUCACCAUAAUGGAGUGUAACGACUGAAUGGCAAAUAAAAGCUUUAUUAGUGCAAA